AUAAAAGACGGUAGGCAUUUAAUUUUUCAGAAAUUAAAACGUAAUUAUCCGGACAGUAAUACCUGUUUUAUUGUCAGUAAAGGAUGGUUUGGAAAGGUACGUGACGUGAGUUAAAGGUCACGUCCAGGCGGGCAAGUCAGCCAGCCGACUGACGAUAAAGUACACAACCACAUAUCUCCCGUUACACGUUGUCAUAUUUGUCAUACAAAGUUCGAUGGGCGGCAUAUAAAGAUUAAUGGGUUGACAUAUUUAUCGUUAUGUAUUAUUCUACGCAUUUAUAUUACGUAAAGAAUAUUUUCCCACACAAUUUUGGAACACAUUAAAUAAAUUAGCCUUGCUAUUUAUGGAAACUAAUGCUUCAGCAAACACGAUUUCAAAUAUCAUGAGCAUUUUUAAGAACGAAUUAGUCAUGCUAAGUGAUGGAUAGGUGCAGUAUAGAAAUUAGCACUAAAUAAGGAACUUAAGGAAAGCUAUUCACCUGUGUGUGUUCUGAGAUGUGUAACUAAACAAUUACUUUGAGUGAAUUUAGCAGAACAUUGAGAACAUGAGAAUGACUUUACACCAUUGUGUGAACUUAUGUGUCUGCUAAUUGAUUUCCAUGUACUGAAAUAAGCAGAACAGAAGGAACAUGAAAAUGGUUUUCUACCAUAUUGUGUUUUUAUAUGAUUAUUAAGUGAAUUCUUUACACUAAACGUGGCUAAACAAUUUAAACAUGAGAAUGGCCUCUCACCAGUGUGUGUUCUGAGGUGUGUAUUCAAAUGACUCUUUUGAAUGAAUGCAACAGAACAUUAUGAACAUGAGAAUAGUUAUAGAGCUGGGUGGUCUACCGAACUAGAAGACUGCCUCCAGUUUUAUAUAUGAUACAGUAACUGAGUGAAAAACCGUUGAAAUGUUCAAAAAAACACUGGAUGAAUGUAACGUAAGAUUUGUUAUCCGUGUUUUAUAAUUUGUAAAAAAUGUUUAGGCUAUAUAACAAUAAAAUUUGAAUACUUUACUAAGUCAAAAUUUGAUGUAAAAUUAUGCUACUCUUCCUUGAUGCAACUAUUUCUUAAGGCGGCAUGGUAUCUAAACCAGAGCUAAAUGCAUUAAUUAAAAACUGAAGGUUACUUGAAGCCAAACUUCUGCCUUAGUAAUUUUGAACAUUUAAUUGCUGCAGAAGAAACAACGCUCGAGAAUUGUCUUUUUAGGACGUCUGCUAAUAAAGUUGGCAAAUAACAUUAUGUAGGAUUGUUGUUUUGCAGUUUUUCAAUGUUGUCUUCCAAAAACCAAUAACAUCCAACUGACGCUUAAGGGCGGGUACAGACUAGAACAUUUCAACGGACAGAACAUUGUUCGCGAACAUGUUUGCAACCAAUGUGGACGGGAAAACGAACAUUUCCCCGUAACAAAAAAUGUUCGGUUGUUUGUUCGGUUGCGAUCCGAUAUUUGUCGGUUUUUGCCCGUCACAUCAAAGGAUGUUCGCCGUGGCUCGGAUAACAGUCUGGACGUCGCUGCGAACACUUCCUGCGAACAUUCAGUUGUCGACGUGGAGCGGUGUUGUCUUCACGGAGUUAGUAGCGGUGCGUGACUCUUUUGUUAUAUGAGAAUGGAGUGGUCCAAGGAAGAUCAAAUAAAACUGAUAGAUUUGUAUAAACAACAAACAGUGAUAUGGGACCCAAACAAUGUUAAUCAUUUCAACAAAAUUAGAAAACAAGACGCGUGGGAAGAAAUCGGGGCCGAAAUGGACAGAGAUGUGGACGAAUGUAAGAAGAAAAUGGAGAGUUUGCUAUCAGCAUUAAGAAGGGAGAGGAAGAAAAUGAAAGACACUGCUGGAACUGGAAAAGGAACUGACGAAAUGUACAGAAGUUCCUGGUUCGCUUUCGAAAGUCUACGUUUCUUGCUGGACAAAAAUAAACCAAGAAAGACAAUUUCGACGAUGCGAGUAGAAAGCGAAGAGAGAGACGUAGAAUGUGGUGCAGUUGGAGAAUCAGCACAGGAAACUGUACCGAAAAAGAAGAAGCAGCGAGUCGAAGAUGCACGUCUGGACAAAGCCUUUCAUAUAUUGUCGUCCACCGCGAGUCAGCUUAACGAUGAGUGCCAACAUUUUGGAAAUUUGGUCGCAUCUAAGUUGAGACAGUACAACGUUGAUACUAGAUGUACAAUUGAAAAUGACAUUAUGGGUAUUUUCCUUCGCGCUAACAGGGGUUUCUACAAUAACACUCAGAAUUUUAUACAACCACACUAUCCAUGUCAUUUUCCAUCGGACAACUCUGUCAUGCAGUCAAACACUGUAUUGUCCAACCCUACAACCCCGUGUCCUUCAGCAGGAUCACCUACCUUGACGUCUGAUGAUGAUGAUUUCAUUAUUCACGAUCUCUUAUAAAAUAUUUUUGUUUUAAUUACAGUGCUCCUAAUGAUUUGUAACACAGUGUAAACAACUUUGUCAUUUCUUAUAAAUAAAUGUAGAAAAUUACGUUAAUAAAUCUUUCAAUUACACAGUACCGCAGAAUAAGUCAAUACUUACCUUAAUGUAAUCCUCAAGUCCUUCGAUGAGAGCAGAACACACUUCAGGAAUAACUGUGCUGAUAGUCUGUUUUGAAAUUUUAAAUACAUACUGAAGGCUGGUAUACGAAUCACCAGUUGCUAAAAAACGUAAUGUCAAUGCCAGUCUUUCUGUAAUUGGAAUUGCUUUUCUGAACGACGUAUCUCUCUUACCAAUUUUCGCUCCUAUCAAAUUGAUCAACCACUCAAAAUCUGAUGGGUGCAUUCUUGUAAAGUUCUUGUAAAGACCACUGACUGACUGAAAACUUAAGUCUGCCAACAAGUUCGAGCCACUAUAUGUUGUCCUACUUUCAUACAGUUUUGUAAUCCACCAACGGCGAGAUUUCCUUCGCUUUUUAACCGCAUAGUGAAUGUAAAUAUAUACAGCUGCUGCUACUUGCGCCUGUGUACUCAUCGUGCCACUGCUAAGUACGGAAUGGGUCACAGGGAACACACCUCGAACAAUGUUCGCAAACAAUGUUCUUUCGAAAUCUGAACACUGUUCGUAAAAUGUGUCGAACACUGUUCGCUGUUCUGUUCGCUAAAAUGUUCUAGUCUGUACCCGCCUUAAGUCAUUUAUUUAUCUACCAUGCCCCCUUAAGCAUCUACUAAACUUCUCAUUUUUAUUUACUCAUGAUCCCAUUGAUUCUCCACCUUGAAAUUUGGCACAAAUCUAACCAAUAUAUGUAGGAAUAACAUACUUUUUUUUAAAAAAAAAUUAAAAUGGUGUUUUUUAGAAAUUCAAUAUUAAAAAUUUUGAAAACCAAUAAAAAAAAAUUUCUUUCCAAAAUUGGUCAUGUUACAUAUCAAAUUGAAGCCCAUUCAAUGACCUUUAAAAUGAGUUGUCAAACAGUCUUCUAGCACCAUUAGUUGGAAACCUACAAGUAUUUGAGUGAUCCAAAACAUUGCUAAAGUUGGCUAUAUUUGCAAUUUUCAAAAAUUUAU